UUCCUGAUGUUAAAUCAGAAUCUCAUUCCUUAUCAUUUGAAUCCAUUGGUUUGGGCCCUACCCUCUGGAGGAGAAGGAAACAAGCUUGCUCCAACUUCCAUGUGACUGCAAUUUAGAUAUUUGAAGAUGGCCAUCACAUCACCUCUCAGUCUUCUCUUCUGCAGGCUAAACACGCACCGUUC